rnacentral:rRNA from 1 species
AGCUCUCCGAGUGGUGUGGAUGUUUAUUGGGCCUAAAGCAUCCGUAGCUGGCUAAGUUAGUCCCUUGUUAAAUCCACCGAAUUAAUCGUUGGAUUGCGGGGGAUACUGCUUGGCUAGGGGACGAGAGAGGCAGACGGUAUUUUUGGGGUAGGGGUGAAAUCCUAUAAUCCCAGGAAGACCACCAGUGGCGAAGGCUGUCUGCUAGAACGCGCCCGACGGUGAGGGAUGAACGCUGGGGGAGCGAACC